rnacentral:rRNA from 1 species
UACGGAGGGUGCGAGCGUUAAUCGGAAUUACUGGGCGUAAAGGGCGCGUAGGCGGUGGGUUACGUCUGCCGUGAAAUCCCCGGGCUCAACCUGGGAAUGGCGGUGGAAACGGGCUGACUGGAGUAUGGGAGAGGGUGAUGGAAUUCCAGGUGUAGCGGUGAAAUGCGUAGAGAUCUGGAGGAACACCAGUGGCGAAGGCGGUCACCUGGCCCAAUACUUACGCUGAGGCGCGAAAGCGUCGGGAGGAAACAGG